CGGAACGGGUGAGUAACGCGUGAGGAACCUGCCUCAAAGAGGGGGACAACAGUUGGAAACGACUGCUAAUACCGCAUAAGCCCACGGCUCGGCAUCGAGCAGAGGGAAAAGGAGCAAUCCGCUUUGAGAUGGCCUCGCGUCCGAUUAGCUAGUUGGUGAGGUAACGGCCCACCAAGGCGACGAUCGGUAGCCGGACUGGGAGGUUGAACGGCCGCAUUGGGACUGAGACACGGCCCAG
rnacentral:rRNA from 1 species